UACGGGGGGGGCAAGCGUUGUUCGGAAUUACUGGGCGUAAAGGGCUCGUAGGCGGCCAACUAAGUCCGACGUGAAAUCCCCAGGCUUAACCUGGGAACUGCGUCGGAUACUGGAUGGCUUGAAUUCGGGGAGAGGGAUGCAGAAUUCCAGGUGUAGCGGUGAAAUGCGUAGAUAUCUGGAGGAAUACCGGUGGCGAAGGCGGCAUCCUGGACCGGCAUUGACGCUGAGGCGCGAAAGCCAGGGGAGCAAACGGG
rnacentral:rRNA from 1 species